UGCCUUAUAGCUCAAUGGUUAGAGCGUCUGUCCGGUUAUCAGAAGGUUACGUGCAUGGUUCAAUUCCCGUUAGGGCUC